UACGUAGGGUGCUAGCGUUGUCCGGAUUUAUUGGGCGUAAAGGGCUCGUAGGCGGCCAACUAAGUCAGACGUGAAAUCCCUCGGCUUAACCGGGGAACUGCAUCUGAUACUGGAUGGCUUGAGUUCGGGAGAGGGAUGCGGAAUUCCAGGUGUAGCGGUGAAAUGCGUAGAUAUCUGGAGGAACACCGAUGGCGAAGGCAGCUCGCUGGGACGGUACUGACGCUGAGGCGCGAAAGCGUGGGGAGCAAACAGG
rnacentral:rRNA from 1 species